CCAUGUCUCAGAUGCCUGGGCCCUCCUAAAGAAAGGUCACACAGGAAGUGAUGACAUGGUCAGGUACUUCCUCAAUGGAUGUGAGAGGCUUGGCCUAUGUGUGGAGGCUUCAGACUGCAUGGAAGCAGUAUGGAAGCGCUGCCUCCUCUUUGCCCCCUCUGAGAUGGGGCAUCCCAUAUGUGUAUGGAGGCACAGUGAUGCUGCAGCAGAUCUCCUCCCUGCUUAGUGAUGGAGGAGGGUGUCACAGCAGGCAGGAUGACAGCCCAUCCCUCCCAGCAGACAAACUCCACCCAGGCUGCCCUGACCUGCUUCUGACCCUAGAGGGCGCCACAGACCCUGUCUCCUUCAACAGCCUGAGUCUAGACAGCAGGAAUGUGGAGGAGCUGGUGUUCUCCACUGAGUGGGGAGUAGAGGAGAUCAUGACCUGUGAUGCCAGGAGACGACCUCGUAAUUGUGAAAGAGGAGGCAGUUCCCCAUGUGUAUGUAACAUUAGACAGAAUGUUACAUAUACAUUUACACAAUGGCUAUGUUUACUUUUUUUUUCAACAGACUGA
rnacentral:lncRNA from 8 species